rnacentral:misc_RNA from 1 species
UUCGCCAUAUUUACAACGCUCUUGUAGUCAACAGACAUCAGACACCUGUAUCGUAUCGUGCAGACGCUUGCAUGCCAGCGAAGGAAUUUGUGCGUGUUACAUUCUCUUGUAACGAUCACGUCAUUUGCAACAAUCGAACAUCUCUUUCAAUUUAAUCCAAUUGAAUAAGAAAGCUGGGAGAGUUCUAUGUUCGAGAACAAGAGCGACAAGCGCAUCGUGGGGAGAAGCUAGACACUCCGGAUUUGAGACUCGAGUACCCUGCUGGGUGUGUCAUAAUGCGUGCUAUUCUAGCCUUGAUAUGCGCGAUUCUGCAAACGGUUACGGCCCAACGAACUCCGACGAUAUCAUACACGUCACAGGAACAGAUUAAGGAUAUUGGAGAAACGGUGGAAAUGCAAUGUUCCGUUCAGUACGCUCAAGAAUAUCCUGUCUUGUGGAUCAAAUUUAAUAAAGACAGUCCACACGAGCAAGUAGCACUUUCUACCGGCACUGCAUUGAUAAUCAGAGAUAGUAGAUUCUCUCUUAAGUAUGAUACAGCGUCUAGCACUUACAUCUUACAAAUUAAAGACAUACAAGAAACGGAUGCUGGAUUCUAUCAAUGUAGAAUACAAAUAUCCGUAAACAAUCUCGUGAGCGCAGAUGUGGAGUUGCAAGUUCGUAGGCCACCGAUAAUUAGCGAUAAUUCGACUCAAUCACUGGUGGUUAGCGAGGGACAACCUGUCCAACUGGAAUGCUAUGCCAAUGGCUUUCCACCGCCAAGGAUAUCAUGGCGUAGAGAAAAUAAUGCUAUUUUACCCACCGGAGGAUCGAUUUAUCGUGGUAAUACGUUGAAAAUAUCUGCUAUACGUAAAGAGGAUCGCGGAACGUAUUAUUGCAUCGCUGAGAAUGGAGUUGGACGCGGUGCUAGACGUAAUAUUAACGUAGAGGUCGAAUUUGCGCCGGUGAUCACGGCUCCUAGACCACGACUCGGACAAGCUUUGCAAUACGAUAUGGAUUUGGAGUGUCAUGUGGAAGCGUAUCCUCCGCCAGCUAUCAUCUGGCUCAAAGAUGACAUUCAGUUAUCGAAUAAUCAGCAUUACAGCAUAUCACACUUUGCAACCGCGGAUGAAUACACCGACACAACGAUUCGAGUUAUUACCAUAGAAAAACGGCAAUAUGGAGAAUACGUAUGUCGCGCAGCUAACAAACUAGGCACUGCUGAAACGAAAGUCGAGCUUUUCGAAAUUUCAACGCCAAAUAUUAAUUACCCGGGCCUGCAAUGGGCAGCGGCGAGUCAAUGCAAUCUUUUAAAGUGGCUCUUCGCCGUCAGCUUUAUUAUUAUCGUAAUAAUGCUGUAAGACCAAAACUUAAAUUGUAAGGGCCUCAAUAAUAUUUUACUAACUUACUUUCUAUAUUUGUAUAAUGCGAUUAUUUUUAUAGUUAUUUACAAACAGAUCAAUUUAUCAUUAUUGGAAAAUGAGCAUAUCGUGACACGAUGUGUCACCAUGUCGGUGCAGCUGUUGAUAGAAAUUUAAUAUCAUUAUUUACACAUUUUCGGAUUUUUAUGAUAUUUUCACUUUUAGAAUCUUUUCAUGUAUAUAGAGAUAUUAUAGAUAUAUUUAAUAUCUAAUUUUUAUAUUGGAAAAUUUAUAUUUAAUCUAUUAUGGACGUUACUUUUGAAUCUCUAUGAUUCACCCCUUUUUCUUAUAAUUGCGUAAUAACGCCGCUCAAUUUUUACAUCGAAAUUUGAAUUUUAUUUAAAUGUUAAGCGUAAUCCACAAGCUGCGUUUUGAAUCCAGAAAAAGGGAUUUGAUAAUAGAUGUAAUGCGAUUUUCAUAAAUAAUUUUGUCAUGCUGAUAUAGUACUUGUUGGCAUUUUAAUUAUUAGAAAAGAUAAUUCAUGUCAUAUAAAUCUCUUAUAAAUAUAGACACCAACGAUAUAUAGAUGUUGGAAAGAUUCAAGCUAACAUUCCAGUACACAUUUACGAUGACACACAAUGUUAUAUAACGCGGCAAGUAGAUAGCAUAACUUCUUGGCCUCAGUAUUACUGAUAGGUGAUGGAGAAGUAAAUAAUAAUGAUGUUACAAAAACAUAUUGUAUUAUCAUACCUAUAGUUAUCGGUAGAGCAAAUCGACAAUACGGAUUUGUAGAAUUAUCUAAUUAUCCCGUUAACGCAAAAGAAUUUGAAAUGUCAUGAACAAAGAAAAUAAUGUUGAUGUUAGUGCCUUGUUCGUGAUAUAAAAAAAUGUAAUUUAUGUUAGAAGUAAAAUUAUAAAUGUGUAUAAAAUAUAGACAACAUAACGUAUACGUGUAUCAAUUGCACGUAUGUAACAUAACAUUUUACGUAUUUUAUUAAGCACAUACUUCUAUUUACUGCACACUUAUAUCGCGAUCUCUUUAACAAGGUAAAUUUCAUGUAACUCAUCGAUUGUAUCAUAUAAAUGUUGUACAACCGAUAUAAGAGAAAGUAGGAAAAGAGAAUCUCAAUGAAAAGAAUCUCAGUUUUUAUAUGCUCUUUACAAGUUUUCAAUUUUAUACUUGCUAAUAUUGUAUUCAAUUUGACGCCAUGAUACUCAUAAUAUUUAUAAUAAUUCUAACAUUCACAAUAUACACAUUGUGAACAAUUGUGAAUAUCAAAUGUAUUACAACUAUAUAAUGUCAGUAGCAAGAUUUUAUACAGAUACCGUUUGUACUACGAUAUUGCAUUUUAUUACUUAAAAUUUCGUGCGUCUACAUAUUUAGCUAAAUUUAUGUAUGAAAUAAGCAAUAAAAUUUUAUAAAUAA